AUCCAUCAUUGAUGAAGACAAGAGAUGUCAGAUCCUCUCAAACACUUUCACUUCUUCAUUUAGGAAUAGAAGUGGCCCUGUUUUGCCCAAAUCGUCUUUAGAUGCUAAGGCAAGUAACAACCAAGCUGUACUUGAACUGUCCCAGGAGACCGUCAGUGAUCCAAUAUUAAAGCAGGCGUGAUAGUGCCAUGGGACAUUUGAUCUGUUGGUUUCAAAAGAUAUUUUUCUCCUUUUCCUCGUCUCCAGGCUCACAGGCAUGAACCUCCCAUCCCCUGUGAUCAGCAGUAAGAACUGGCUCCGUCUCCAUUUCACGUCUGACAGCAACCAUCGACGUAAGGGCUUCAACGCUCAGUUCCAAGUGAAAAAGGCAAUUGAGCUGAAGUCCAGAGGAGUCAAAAUGCUACCAAGCAAGGACAGCAGCCACAAAAACUCUGUCUUGACCCAAGGAGGUGUGUCUCUGGUCUCUGACAUGUGUCCAGAUCCUGGAAUUCCAGACAAUGGCAGAAGAGCAGGCUCUGACUUCAGGGUUGGUGCAAACGUGCAGUUCUCCUGUGAGGAUAAUUAUGUCCUCCAAGGGGCCAAGGGCAUCACCUGUCAAAGAGUCACAGAGACCCUAGCAGCAUGGAGUGACCACCGACCCAUCUGCCGAGCCAGGACAUGUGGAUCAAACCUGCGUGGGCCGAGUGGUGUCAUCACCUCCCCUAACUACCCAGUGCAGUAUGAAGACAAUGCUCACUGCGUGUGGGUCAUCACGACCACUGAUCCAGACAAGGUAAGGCUUCUCCACCCACUCACCUGCUGGCAGCAGCCAACUAUAAUUGGCAGACUUCUUGGGCAAGAGUUGACAGUGUCUAUGGCCCACACAUCCUCAUCUACCCAUAGAGCAUAGGCAGGACUCAAUGCAGCCUCUUGUGGUGGUCAAGGAGAGGAGGUCAUUCCUACUGUUGAGUACCUGUGCUCACUGUUCAGUCAACCAUUUUCUCUGGCUUGAGACUUCACAGUGCUCCUUGCUAGAAGCUCUUCUGCUAGGUAGAGCUACAGGGCUGGCUUUCCAGCUGGGUUGUCAAAACCAGGCUGUUAUCUUUUUCUUCUCCAAAAGUUAUCAGGUCCCUCUCCUUUCCCAG
rnacentral:lncRNA from 14 species